UACGAAGGGUGCAAGCGUUACUCGGAAUUACUGGGCGUAAAGCGUGCGUAGGUGGUUUGUUAAGUCUGAUGUGAAAGCCCUGGGCUCAACCUGGGAAUUGCAUUGGAUACUGGCAGGCUAGAGUGCGGUAGAGGGUAGUGGAAUUCCCGGUGUAGCAGUGAAAUGCGUAGAGAUCGGGAGGAACAUCUGUGGCGAAGGCGACUACCUGGACCAGCUCUGACACUGAGGCACGAAAGCGUGGGGAGCAAACAGG
rnacentral:rRNA from 1 species